UAAGACUGAUAUUUUUUUUAUCGAUAUGGAGGGAUGGAUUCAGGGAGUCAUUCAUUAACACUAGGCUGACUUUAUGCUUGGGAAAAGACUCUUUACGACGAAGUUAAGGCUGGUGAUAGCACAAGGAAAAUUUACUAGAGAAAAUAUUAUCGACUAAGAAACCAGGAUGUCAAGGGAUAUGAUGAGCUUACAAUGGAUAAAACCAGAGCUGCAGUGAAGGAUUUGUAUGCAUGAAUCUUGAUCCCGAUUUGAAGUGAGGAAUCAAUCUCGAAGAGAAUUCAGAAACUCAGAGAUGAAGAACUACUGCCUCAAGUUAUUGAACUGUUGAAGGGCCUAACACGAACCGGGAAAGUUAUGCUUGAAUCUCAUGAAACCCAAAACAAAAUUCUUUCUGAAGUGAAAUCUUCGCCUGCCCUUCAUUAAUUGGAAAGUUCAGCAACGAUUCUCAUCGACUUGCUACGCUUCAACUCGAAGCCGAGCUUCGAAAUUGGCGUGCUUCCUUUUCCGAGUAUGUUGCAGCUCAAAGAGCAUACAUUCAAGCUCUUCAUGGUUGGCUAACUAAGUUCUUGGUUCCUGAAGUCGAAUUUUAUUCCAGGGGGAGGAGCUCUGGUGCACCAUAUGGAGGUACUGGGCCUCCACUUCUUGUGAUAUGUUAUCACUGGUUAACUUCGAUGGAGGAGUAACCGGAUAAGGCGGUCACCUUUUCAUUGAAAAGCUUUUCUAAGGAGGUGAAGGAACCGUGACCACAGAAAGGGGAGGAGCAGCAACAGAAGAGGAAAGUCGAUGGUAUGGCAACAGAACUUGAUAGAAGGACCAUGGCAUUCCAGAAAGAAGAAACCAGGUUCUUGGAAUCCAAGCUGCUUACGGAGUAUAAUUGUAUAAACCCGAGCCGGAGAUGGAGCAGGAGGAUGAAUAUCUAAUGGAGAAGAAAGAUCAGUUGGAUAUGAUGAGGAAGAGGUUGGAUGUAAACACCACAAUUACAUGUCUAAUGACUGUUGAUGAAAGAUCUUUGCAAGAACAUCAAGAUUAUCAGUUUCCUUUUCUUUUCCGGGCCGAUUGAGACCUUCUGCAAGUGCUGCAUUUAGCUAAAACUUAGAGUUACAAUAAACCCAAAAUCAUUAGUAGGAAUGCAUGAAAG